CAUAGCUGCUGCUGAGAAAGGGAAGUGAGACCUAGAGACAGAGUGACUUGCCGUACAAGGGCCGUCAAGCUCCCGGGAGGCAGGGCCAGGAGCCCCCACACCAGCAUUCCUUCACUGUGGCACACUGCAUUUCUUCACUCUCCCGAGCCUGUUCAAGGAGGCCACAGGGAAUCACCAUUCUUCAAGGAGCAGUUCAUCAGACACCUAUUAUCCAACUCUGUGAGUUGGGGUGAUUUACUUCUCUGGGCUUCAGUUUUCCUCAUCCGUGAAAUGGGAGAGAGACCAGAUAACGUCUCGCAGUCUUUCCCAGCUCUAGAGCCUACUUCUGGCAUUAUAGAAGGAAACGAACAUCAGAUCUGGGACAUGGGACAGCGUGGAGGUAAGAGACAGCCAGAUGGUAACUUGAAAGGUGGUACAGAAGGGGCCUGAAUGUUGGAGGAGUGGUGGGGUGUGGAAGUAUCACAGAUAAAAGUCAUCCUGUUCCCAGCCUCGCCUGGGGCCACUGCCAUAACAUGUUCGGCCCCAAAAUGCCCAGAUGGUAAAAAUAUAAAACUCUGAUCUUCUCAUAUUCAACACUCAGAUUUCAGAACUAGGCUGUAUAAUUUGUAGUGAGAAAAUUUGACUUCAUUUUCCUUUAAGAAAAAAAAAAUCUCUAUCUACUUUCUGAUAUGGAACAUCCUGAAUAGACUGGCUUCUGUUUGAUUGAGAGGUGGUUUGCACGGUGGUUAGGAACUUGGCCCGAACUCCAUCACUUACUAAGGGUAUAACUUGGGUUAAGUAAGUUUCCGUCUUAAAAGAGGGGUUUAUAAUGAUAUCCACUGUGGCACCCAUUUGUGGGACAGACCACUAUUGAAUUGCAGUGACCGGGUAAGAAAAUAUGUGCAAAGUGUUAAGCACAGGGUCUAGCAAACAGUAAAUGUAUAAACAAACUUAUUAGCUCUUCGUGUUUCCCGCCCCUCUUGG
rnacentral:lncRNA from 12 species